GUACUGACGAUGAAAGGGACAGUAGCUCUUUCACCGCUUAUUACAGCGAGCUGGGGAUGGUGGAAGCCCGGCAUAAGCGAAAGAGUGAAGAUCACCCUGGAGUUCCAUGCCGAACGGAAAAGAAGUAGGCCAUGGCGCGUCAUUCACGUUACGAAUGCAAAGUGGGCUAUGUGAUACAUAGUCAAUAAGGGUGGUACCGCGAGACCGUUCUCGUCCCUUUU
rnacentral:ncRNA from 1 species